rnacentral:lncRNA from 1 species
GGGAGGGCAAAGAGCCACUGUGACAGCCUUUUUGGGUAUCUGCACUUGGUGGCUCCUGAAUUCUUGUCCAGUGCCCAAGAAGAAUGAGGUCAUGCAGACAAAUCAAAGGAUGUCAAGUCACCUCUUUCUGACGUCCAGCCACUGUCUCUGAAGUCAAGUCACCUCUUUCUGAUGUCCAGCUGCUUCUCUGAAGUCAAGUCACCUCUCCCUGUGAUCCAGCCACUUCUCUGAAGUCAAGUCACCUCUCCCCGACAUCCAGCCAUGUCUCUGAAGUCAGGAACUUACAGUCCUGUUUAAAGACACGAAGAGAAAAACGAGAUGCCAAACCACAGUGGGAGUUUAGAGAAGACUGUGAUGAGAGUUGGAGCAUUCUUGGGGAGUCUUUGCUGCAGAGAUGGGACUUUAUGCAUCAGUACAUUCUUAAAGUGUCUACGCUGCCCCGGGAUGCUGAGCCCCUGGACACCACAGGUGGCAUUUCAGCUAUGAGUGAGGGGGGGCAUUUGGAAGGGGAGCCCCGAAGGGGAAGACAAUGGCUCAGAGAGAAUGAAGUCAGCACUUCCCAGCCUCUGUGUGCUGCGGUCCAAGGCUUCGGCCGGGAGCACUGCAGAGCAAAAGUUCUGAGAGCCACGGCUCAGGCUUAACUGGCCAGAGCGAGCUUGGCAGCUGCUCUCGUCCCAGCAGGCUUUGCUCUCUGAGGCAGUCAUUCCCACCACACAAAGGCAGUUCUGUGCCUCCCAAAGGUGCUUGGGGCAGGAAUGAAGAGCGGAACAGCCCCCAUCAAUCCAAUAGGAUUGUCGUUUUACGCUGGCGUGGAGCCUCAGACAUCAAAAGGGCUGGAGAGUGAAGCCACGUGUGAGCCGUGAAGUUGGUGACCCUGAGGCACAGAAAGCUGAGGGAAUUUGUUCGAAGUCACACAGCUGGGUCCUUGCAGAUGUAAUCGGGUGAAGAUGGGUUCAUAUUGGAUUGGAGUGAGUCAUAAUCCACUGUGACUGGUGUCUUUAAAAGAAAAGGACACACGGAAAUUCAGAGACAGAAAGACCCACAGGGAGAAUGCCAUGUGAUGACAGAGGCAGAGACUGGAGUGAUGGGUCUAUAGCCAACGGACACCAAAGACUCUCAUCCACCAGAAGCUGGAAGAGGCAAGAAGUGGAAAAGCAUUUGGGAGGAAGUGGAACCAAAGCAGAUCCUAUCCAAGGUGAAUGGCAAGCAGCUAUAUGAGGAUGGCCUUGCUCCCAGCCGGAUCUCCCAUCCUCAAGAAGGCCAGCCCAGGCUUCAUCACACAGCAGUGGAAGAGUUCUGAUUUAAGAGAAGAAGAGUGGAAGCUGCAGGUCCUGUUGAGACCUGGACUAGGAAGACACACAAUGCCACUUCUGCCACAUUCUAGUUGUCAUUUCUGGUUGUGAAAGCAAGUCCCAGGGCCAGUCAAGAUUCAAGGAAAGGGUAAAUAAACUCCAUUACUUGAUGGGUGCAGCCAAAAAAAGUCA